rnacentral:misc_RNA from 1 species
GUGAAUCAUCGAAUCUUUGAACGCAAAUUGCACUUUCUGGUAUUCCGGAGAGUAUGCCUGUUUGAGGGUCAGUUAAAUCCAAAUCGGCGUUGUUGCUGCUUUUCGUGGUGACGCGUCGACGUUGAGUUGUCUUACCUUCGGUUAAGUGACUUAAAAUUUUGCAUGAUUUUCGUACGAAUUGAAAUUUCUU